rnacentral:rRNA from 1 species
AUUGAACGCUGGCGGCAGGCCUAACACAUGCAAGUCGAACGAGUGGCGGACGGGUGAGUAAUGUCUGGGAAACUGCCCGAUGGAGGGGGAUAACUACUGGAAACGGUAGCUAAUACCGCAUACCAUCGGAUGUGCCCACAUGGGAUUAGCUAGUAGGUGGGGUAACGGCUCACCUAGGCGACGCUCCCUAGCUGGUCUGAGAGGAUGACCGGCCACACAGGAACUGAGACACGGUCCAGACUCCUGCGGGAGGCAGCAGUGGGGAAUAUGGCACAAUGGGCGAAAGCCUGAUGCAGCCAUGCCGCGUGUAUUAAGAAGGCGUUCGGGUUGUAAAGUACUUUCAGCGAGGAUGCGUGACUCGCAGAAGAAGCACCGGCUAACUCCGUGCCAGCAGCCGCGGUAAUUC